GGUGUGGCCUAGUGGCUAAGGCGUCGCAUUUGGGAUGCGAAGAUCGCUGGUUCGAAUCCAGUCGC
rnacentral:tRNA from 1 species